rnacentral:rRNA from 1 species
UUGUGUCUUCGAGUCGUUGAUUUCACACUGCCGAGAAAAGCCUCUAGAUAGAAAAUAGGUGCCCGUACCGCAAACCGACACAGGUAGUCAAGAUGAGAAUUCUAAGGUGAGCGAGCGAACUCUCGUUAAGGAACUCGGCAAAAUGACCCCGUAACUUCGGGAGAAGGGGUGCUCUUUAGGGUUAACGCCCAGAAGAGCCGCAGUGAAUAGGCCCAAGCGACUGUUUAUCAAAAACACAGGUCUCUGCUAAACCGUAAGGUGAUGUAUAGGGGCUGACGCCUGCCCGGUGCUGGAAGGUUAAGAGGAGUGGUUAGCUUCUGCGAAGCUACGAAUCGAAGCCCCAGUAAACGGCGGCCGUAACUAUAACGGUCCUAAGGUAGCGAAAUUCCUUGUCGGGUAAGUUCCGACCCGCACGAAAGGCGUAACGAUUUGGGCACUGUCUCAACGAGAGACUCGGUGAAAUCAUAGUACCUGUGAAGAUGCAGGUUACCCGCGACAGGACGGA